rnacentral:pre_miRNA from 1 species
GGGAGCUCAGGAUCCUGGGCUGUGUCCCCCAGCACCCUGGGCUCCAGGGCCUGCGCUGCUUGAAUCACGCUCCCGGGCCGUGCAGCCUCCU